ACUGCAACUCUGUGGCUUCUGGGGACAGGUGUGCUGUGCUCUGUUGAACCUGUGCACGCCCAUCUUGCCCUAAGUCUGUGCAGCAGCAACCAGGCUGUGAAACGCAGGAUACGGCUUGUCACCACCGCCCCGCGGCUUCCCUGGACCAACAGCCUGGCCAGGAGCGUUCUCCUCCGUUCAGAGGCAGUCGGCAGUCCAGCCACGUGAGCACCUCCAAGCCUCUGCUUGCAUCUCCUCCGCUGACAUCUCGUCGGCUAAAGCACAUCAGAGGCGAGGAAAUACCUCGCUGUUACAGGUGGACAGCUCCCGCUGUACCCAGGCAGCCCGGGACAAGUCGGAGCGAUGCUGCAG
ensembl:lncRNA